rnacentral:lncRNA from 1 species
AAGGAUAGGUCUAUCCUAAGCAUCUUUAGUCUUUCUUGUGCAAUAAUUUUAGAGGCUUGUUGCAUCAAUAAAGAUUGUAAAUAAAUGGAGCAACUUUGUAUGCAUAUUUUGAAGGUGUACAAAUUGUCAAACAGCAAGGAAAUGAAUCAGACCCAAAACUCAGUGUUGCACUUACAAAAUUCAAAUAAUAUGAAUAUAUAGAAACUGUUUUUGAAGGUUUGGUGUAUAUUUGACCAAAUGAACAACAAGUACCAGUUUCAAUUGAUGAAAUGCACUUUUGGAACCAUGGAAAAUGUAUAGGAGAGCACGGAAUCUGAAAAUCAGUGUAUGAGUUGCCAGUUAUGCAGAAAAAAAGUGGUGAAAACUGCACUAUAAUGAAAAAAAUGGCAACUAAAAUGGAAACUGCAGUGGUGACAAUAAAUGGCAGGUGUUCAAAUGUACAUAUGACUCUUCAAGCAAGUUUUAAUCAUCAAAUGGGAGGUGUUCCAGCGUUCACACAGUCAAGAAGCAUGCAGCAGCAGAAAUAAGCCUUUGAAGAAAACAAAAACAGUUUCAAGAAAACCAAUUUUUAACAACUCAACCACUCUUUUUGGAAUUCAGUGUGUAACACAGAUUGCUAAGUCUUGAAACGUGUAUAAAAUCAUCACACAAACUUGUCUNAAGCUUUAGAACUAAUAAAGAUUUCAUUGUUGGAGGCCAAAAGGGUUGGAGUGUGCCAAGUGACCCCAAUUCUAACCCUUAUAGUCAAUGGGCACAAAANAGCAGAUUUCAAAUAGGAGACUCUUUAGGUAAGUUUCUAUUCAAACUUAAGUCACCAAUCUUACCUAAAAAUUUCAGGAGCUGGUUAGUGGUUACCUCUUACNACUUAUUAACUAGGCCCCAUUUUUAUCGUAUANANCANAGUGUAAAAUUCAUCUUUAAAAGGCAGAGUCAGAAGGGUGGCUUUCAAUGUCGGUUGAGUGGUCGAUCUUGGGCUAGUUAGGGCCUAUUUAGUUGUUAUCUAUUCCUCUUUCUAUCUAUCUCAUAUUCAUAUUCAUAUCAUAUCACUCCCAGGCCCUUACUAUUUCUCAUUCCAUUUUCCCUUUGGUUUUGGAAGUCAUCUUCUCUUGCUGUUCCUGAACGGGGCUCACUUUGCCAUGUGGCCCAUCCUGUCUUCCAUCCUUUUUCUGAACUGCCUAUUCUUUCCUUUUCUUUUUAUUUUUUCCUCUCCUCUCCAUAUGCNCCUGUUCUCUGUCUCCUAGUUUUCUUCACUAUCAUGCAUUUUCAUCUCCAUUAAAUACUAUCCCCAUCACAUAUAUCCUUACAGCUAGCCACCUUACACAGUCUAAUCCUCAAAUCAUCAAUCAGGAUAUGGAUCUCUUCAAAUCAAUUAAUGUAAGAUGCACGCCNCCUCAUGUAUGUCUACCCUUUUUAUAAUACCAUGCAUGCAUGUAUUCCACUAUAUAUAUUAACAUUCAACGUAUCUAUCUAAUAUAAUGAGAUCUAAAUUAGUCCAUACACUCCGAACUAAAACACUAGUAAGCGAGGAUG